rnacentral:rRNA from 1 species
UACGGGGGGGGCAAGCGUUGUUCGGAAUUACUGGGCGUAAAGGGCGCGUAGGCGGCCAACUAAGUCAGACGUGAAAUCCCUUGGCUCAACCAGGGAACUGCGUCUGAUACUGGAUGGCUUGAGUUCGGGAGAGGGAAGUGGAAUUCCAGGUGUAGCGGUGAAAUGCGUAGAUAUCUGGAGGAACACCGGUGGCGAAGGCGGCUUCCUGGACCGACACUGACGCUGAGGCGCGAAAGCCAGGGGAGCAAACGGG